GUGUUUUCUGCCCAGUGAAGUUUUAACGGCCGCGGUACUCUGACCGUGCAAAGGUAGCAUAAUCAUUUGCUUCUUAAUUGGGGGCUUGUAUGAAAGAAAGCAUGAAUGUCUAGCUGUCUCUCUCCAAAAAGUGAAUUUUCUGUUGUUGUGAAGAAGCAAUAAUGCUAAAAAAAGACAAGAAGACCCUAUCGAGCUUUACUCUAGGGAUACAAAAUUGUAGAAUAAUAAUUUAGAUUACAUAAUGCUUUAUGAGUUUCGUUGGGGCGACGAAAAAAGAAAAAAUCUUUUUUUAAAAAAAAACAUUUUGUUAAAUAAUGGGCGGCUAGAAUAGCCAUUAUAUGAAAAGUUACCGUAGGGAUAACAGCGUAAUUUUUUUUGAGAGUUCAAAUCGAAAAAAAAGAUUGCGACCUCGAUGUUGACUUAUUGUCUCCUCUUAGUGCAGCAGCUAUAAGGGUU
rnacentral:rRNA from 1 species